UACAGAGGUGCCAAGCGUUGUUCGGGUUUAUUGGGCGUAAAGGGUGCGUAGGCGGUGAUGCAAGUCGGGUGUGAAAUACCGGAGCCUAACUCCGGAACGGCAUUCGAAACUGCAUCGCUCGAGGUCUGGAGAGGUGAUUGGAAUUCUCGGUGUAGCAGUGAAAUGCGUAGAUAUCGAGAGGAACACCAGAGGCGAAGGCGAAUCACUAGACAGAACCUGACGCUGAGGCACGAAAGCUAGGGGAGCAAACGGG
rnacentral:rRNA from 1 species